GAGAGAGAGAGAGGAGAAAGAGAGAGAAAAGAAGAAGAAGAGGAGGAGGAGGAGGGAGAAAAAGAAGGAAGGAAGGAAGGAAGGAAGGAAGGAAGGAAGGAAGGAAGGAAGGAAGGAAGGAAGGGAAAAAACCCACAUUGCAGACUCCUAUUUGAGGAAGCUGACCUCUACAGUUUAUGAGAGAAUCUCCAGAGGAGGUUGCCAAGCCCUGGCUCUUCUCUCUUCAGCGCGAGGACAUGGGGGAAAGGAGACAUUUAUGAAUCUCUUUGAGUCUCAGUCUUUUCAUUUCUAAAAUUGUGUUAAUAAAAGCCUUUCUGAAAAUGGUGUUGUGAGGAAGGACAUGAGGUUUGGCACUUAGGAGGUGUUCAGUAAAUGGUGGUUAUUAUUGUUGUUAGAAUGAGAGAAAAAAAAAAAAGAGAGCCUCAUGCAAAACAGUAAAGAACAGAGAAAAGAAACAGGAAAUAAAACAGCAUCUGUGGGCUCCAGAAGCGCCCAGAGCCCCCACCCUCCCUCGCCCACCUGCGCACUCACCCCUGAUGGCCCAGGUUCCGAGAGGCUCAGCAGGGCAGCCAAGGCCAUGGCUCGCAGGAGGAUCCUGGCUCUGCGCUGGCUCCUUCAGUCUUCAGGGUGUAUUGGCAAUGGCCACUGUGCACCAGACCCCGAGGAGAAAAUGAGGCGGUGCAGAGAAAACGAGGCGGUGCAGGGAAGGAGGAGCUCCGAAUCCAGCACUCCUUUCCCUACCCCUGUCCAGGGAGAAAGGCUGGAGAUGAAACAGCCUGAUGGGGCUCAACCAACCAGAAGACAUCAGAAGGGACGCCUCUGUGGCUGGGAAAGGAAGAUGCUAGAGCUGCUGGGAGGAAGUGGGAGAAUUGUCAGGCACCAGCAUGGCCCAGGAAGCCCCUGCCUACUGCAGAGUGUGGGGGUUCUCUAGUUUAUAGCAUAUCCCUUCCUGAGGAACAUAAAUCACGUGUUAUUGUCUGCCUUUCAUCCCGAGAGGAAGGAGAUAGUCACAUGGCCAUUUUAUGGUUGAAGGAUUUGGUGAUCACUGGGUCAAAUGAAGAACCUCAGGAUGAGUCAGUAUGGUUUUACCCAGGCAUGGAGAAAUUAACUUCUUGAUGAUGAUCAAGUCUCCUUAUUAAAUAGGAGUGCAACUGAUAGAGGAUCUCCUCACAUUUGCUUUAUUUCGUGGUGCCGCCCAAAUUCAUGCUGUACCCUCAGCAGCAAGGAGUGGGACCAUCACUCCUGGCGUUCCCAGAUGGAACAGACACCAAGCCUGGCUUUGCCACGAACACAAUACGGGACUGAUAAAGCCAGGCCUUCAGCCUAUUGAAUGGUGCAGUGAGCCGAAAUCACACCACUGCACUCCAGCCUGGGCAACAGAGUGAGACUCUGUCUCAAAAAAAAAAAAAAAGAAAAGAAAAGAAGAAAAAGAAAGUCAUACAUUGGAAAUAGAGGCCGCCCAUCUCUCAGUGCCACACAUGAGAAAGGGAAGUUGUCAUUUUAUAUAUCCACUGUCAAGCAUCUUGGUAAAACAAAAGAAAGCAGGCUGGGCCUGGUGGCUCGUGCCUAUAAUCCCAGCACUUUGGGAGGCCAAGGAGGGCAGAUAGCUUGACCAGCAUGGGCAACAUGGCAAAACCCCGUCUCUACAAAAAAAUUUAAAAAAUAAAAAAUAAAUGUAGUCCCAGGUACUCAGAAAGCUGAGGCAAGAGGAUCACUUGAGCCUGGGAGGUAAAGCCUUCAGUGAGCCAUGAUAAUGCCACUGCACUCCAGCCUAGACAACAGAGUGAGACCCUGUCUCAAGAAAAAGAAAAACAAGAGGGAAGCAAUCUACUUUGUACCCAAAGAAUUUUACAUGCAAGGAAUUUGACUAUGAAUGAGCCUCCAUUGCUUAAGAGAGACUUCACUAUUUGGGAUUUUAAGAAAGAAAUAUACAAACGAACAAAUCUCAUCAGCAGAGGACUGAGAAACCAGUGUUUAUAAUACUCAGUGAUUAAUUUAAUAUUGUCUUCAGUCAUCAUUAAAAGGGACUUGGUUUAAAAGUCAUUUUGAUUGAUCGCUGACUCAGAGUCCUCAACAUUUCACCUUUUGCUUUAUGAAAAGAACUAGUAGAUUAAUUUAGAGUUUAACAAGGAGAAGCAGGUCUCCCUUGAUUUUCUGUUUGGCCAAGAAUUUAUCCUAACAUGGUACCAUCAGAGUACUGUCAGAAAGCUGUGAGUCAACUCAGAUUUCUCACCAUUGAGUCAAGCUGUGAAGCCAGCCAUCUUGGGGGUAAGGAUUUCCAUACAGAAACACUGUAAGUAAAUAAUUUAGCACUUGUUUCCUAUUCCUUUUUAUUGGAUAACUACAGAGAAUUAAAACUGUGGGUUGUUUUGAAUUCACAAAAGAAAUGUUUUAAAGCUUUCGAGGAAAAAGCCAGAUUAUCCAUUGCAAAGCAUCGAAAUUCAAAAUCAUGCUAAGGCUAUAGAGAAAUAGGAUCCUAUCCCCACCUAGUGGCCAACACUGAAAUCUAGGCUUAGAACAGGAAACAAGCGAAUUUGUCAACAAUUUCGGAAUACUCCAGCAUUCUUUACAAAAAAAAGUUAGAGAAAAGGUUAAGCACACAAAAAAACACAAGUCAAAAUAAAUACGACCAAAUACAUAGGUUUUGGCAGCACAUAGAUUUCUGUGGUUUUGCUAUGCUUUUAGCAGCAGCUGUAAAAAGCAUUGCACACUAAGCAUUGCUAGAUUGCCAAACAAACCUAAUUAUAUUUUUUUGUUUGUUUUUUUGUUUUUUUGAAAACCUCCUAACCUCUGUGACCUAAUUAUGUUUUUAAUGAGUUGAAUGUAAAAACAAACUAACAUCAACGAAUACAAAAUUUCAGCUAGACAGGAGGAAUAAAUUCAAGAUAUGUACUGUACAACAUGGUGACUCUAGUUAAUAGCAAUGCACUGUGUACUUGAAUAUUGCUAAGUGAAUAAUUUUAAGUGUUCUCACCAAACACAAAAAAUAUGUAAGGUAAUGCACAUAUUAAUUAGCUUGAUUUAGCCAUUAAACAAUGUGUGUGUGUAUAUAUAUAUAUAUAUAUAUAUAUAUAUAUAUAUCAAAACAUCAUAUUGUAUACCAUAGAUUCAAUUUUUGUUAAUUAAAAAAAGAAUUAAAUGAAUACAUAUAUUUUUGUUGCACAGAUGUAUGAGAGAUUGAUCAAUAAAGAUUCUAAAAUAUUUGUUAAAAGUUACAAACU